rnacentral:rRNA from 1 species
CUACGGGGGGCACCAGUGAGGAAUAUUGGACAAUGGUCGAAAGACUGAUCCAGCCAUGCCGCGUGCAGGAUGAAUGCCCUAUGGGUUGUAAACUGCUUUUAUACGGGAAGAACACCACCCACGUGUGGGUGACUGACGGUACCGUAAGAAUAAGGACCGGCUAACUCCGUGCCAGCAGCCGCGGUAAUACGGAGGGUCCAAGCGUUAUCCGGAAUCAUUGGGUUUAAAGGGUCCGUAGGCGGGCUAUUAAGUCAGAGGUGAAAGUUUGGAGCUCAACUGUAAAAUUGCCUUUGAUACUGGUAGUCUUGAGUUAUAGUGAAGUGGUUAGAAUAUGUGGUGUAGCGGUGAAAUGCAUAGAUAUCACAUAGAAUACCAAUUGCGAAGGCAGAUCACUAACUAUAUACUGACGCUGAUGGACGAAAGCGUGGGGAGCGAACGGGAUUAGAUACCCUAGUAGUC